AUACGGAGGGUGCGAGCGUUGUUCGGAAUUAUUGGGCGUAAAGAGCAUGUAGGCGGUCUGUUAAGUCUGGUGUGAAAGCCCGGGGCUCAACCCCGGAAGUGCAUUGGAUACUGGCAGACUUGAGUAUGGGAGAGGAAAGCGGAAUUCGGAGUGUAGGAGUGAAAUCCGUAGAUAUUCGGAGGAACACCAGUGGCGAAGGCGGCUUUCUGGACCAAUACUGACGCUGAGAUGCGAAAGCGUGGGGAGCAAACAGGAUUAGAAACCCCGGUAGUCC
rnacentral:rRNA from 1 species